rnacentral:rRNA from 1 species
GCGGAUGGGUGAGUAACGCGUGGACAACCUACCUUGUAAAGGGGAAUAACCUCGAGAAAUCGAAGCUAAUACCCCAUAAUAACCUUGAUUCGCAUGAAGCGAGGAGGAAAGGCGGCCUUAGCGCUGUCGAUAGAAGAUGGGUCCGCGUCUGAUUAGCUAGUUGGUGAGGUAAAGGCUCACCAAGGCGACGAUCAGUAGCCGGCCUGAGAGGGUGAACGGCCACAUUGGGACUGAGACACGGCCCAGACUCC